CCACAGACACUCAGAUAUAUAGGCAAAUCUGCCUUUGACAGAAAGAACCUUGCUAAAAGGAAUUAUUAAGGGUCAUAAAGGCCCUUGUUGCAUUACUACCCUGGCAUUCACUUAUUGUUCUGUUCCUGCCUCUGGUUAUGCCUGAACCAGCAUGGCCCUACCUCCUCCUUCAUUGCUCUUGCCAACAUUUGCCAACCUGAAAUCAGGAACCAUCCAUGUGGGGGUGAAAAGUGACCAGCAACCCUUGAUGCCACCUUAACUCCAAUAAACCAGUACACUGGGAUGGGUAUGGGCCAACCCUGAAAAUACAUCAGCCCCAUAUUUAUAGUGAUGCUUCCUCAGAUUUUAAGCCACAUAUACCAGAUAAAUGUUUUUGUCCUUUUAUUUCUCUAUUUAAAAAAAAGAGUCUCUAUAAAAAUAAUUCCUUUUAAAUUCUUUAAUUAGGUGUAAAUUUUAUAUCCAGCCCAAAUACAUCUCUUUUUCUUUCAUUCACUCAGAAACACGGAAGUGUCACUUGCAUGGAGAGUUGGAGAGAAGCCUGCAUCUCAAGAUUACAACAGAGUGUGAUAAGCAUAAUGAUAGGGACAUGUAGAAAGGGCUGUGGGAGCAACAAAGACCUUGCCAAAGGGGCCAGAGGGCAUACAGAGAAAAGGACGUUUGAACUACAUCUUCAGAAGUCAAAAUUUAGCCACAUAUAGACUCAAAAUUCUUUCCAAAGUAGAAUGCUGGCUAAAGCUCUUUCCCAUAAUUACUCUGAUUAGAUGAUCCACCUAAGCAUGUUAUAUGGCUUCUCUGUCAUUACAUGAUUUCACUGUCUUCUCGUGUGUUGGUGCAUUGUGACUUCAUACAUUCCAAGGGCAUUCCACAUGGCAACCAAAGGGCAGGAAGUGAGGACAGAGGGCCUUGCUUAGGGCUGUAGCUGUUAUAUGGCAGCCCUCUUUGCAGUCACAUUAUCCUUGUUUCCUCCUAUAACAUGGGAGAGUCUUUCUUUUUAGGGUUCAGUGGCUCAACAGGUUUGGAAGGAUUUGGUAAAGGGAUGCUUCCUUGAGUUCUACUGCUUGGAGAAGACAGGAAAUUUAGCAAGUCAAAUGGCAAAGGUAAAACCACUGUGGAAGGUUUCUCUGUGGACAAGGAUUGCAGGGUGUGGAGGUACCGGAGCUGAACAGCAGCUGGAGUGCCUGAUAGAAUCUCGGCUGCCAUCCUCAGGGACUCGGACGCAGCCUUCUCCCCUUCCGCAGCGAUCAUCUAGACAAGGGAUGUGAAGAAAAGCAAAGUGAUUUUUCUUCUUCGCUCCAUGAAGGUUUUAAUCCUACUUAGCGUGACUCAACAAACAAGCACUAGUAUCUACUGUGUGAUAGGUCACUGCAUCCAAGGCAACCUGUGGAGGGAAGAGUUUAGAUGUCAGUAAGAACCUCCAGGUGGGAGGAGAGCACCCCUAUGCACCGAUGGCCAUUGCACUGAGAAAGCACAUUUCUCAUUAUGUACUUCCCUGUUUUGUUUUAACAUUAUAGGGCCUUGCAAAAGUUGUUUAAUUUGCACAGUGCCACUCAACAAAUAUUUGUGGAAUUAAAGAUGGUGUGGUAGGCUGACUAAUGGCUCCUAAAGACAUCCAUGCCCUAAUCCCUGGAACCUGUGAGUGUUACCCCAAAAGAGACUUUGCAGAUGCAAUUAAGUUCCAGGCUGUUAAAAUGGGGAGUUUAUCCUGGAUCUUGCUGGUGGGCCCUAAAAGCCACUGCAAGUGUCCUUAUAAGAGGGAAGUGGAGGGACAUCUGGCUACAGAAGAGGAGAAGGUGGUGUGAUGAUGGAAGCAGAGGUUGGAGUGCUGUGCUUUUAAGAUGGAGGAAGGGACCAUGAUCUAAAGAAUGCAGGUGGUCACCUGAAGCUGAAAAAGGCAAGGAAAUGAAUUCUCCUCUCAAAACCUCCAGAAGGAACCAGUCCUGCUGACUGACACCUUGACUCUGGCCCAGUAAAACUUCUUUUGGACUUCUGGCCUUCAAAACUGUAAGGUUGGGACUUCCCUGGUGGUCCAGUGGUAAAGAAUCCGCCUUCCAAUGCAGGGGACGCGGGUUCAGAGUACUAGGAUCCCAUGUGCCGCAGGGCAACUAAGCCCGUGCGCCACAACCAAGAGCCUGCGCACCACUACUAAGACCCGAUGCAGCCAAUAAAUAAAUAGAUAUAUUUUUUUUAAAAACUGUAAGGUUAAAUUGGUGGUGGUUUAAGCUGUCAAGUUUGUGGUAAUUUGUUACAGAAGCAAUAGGAAAUAAUAGAGAUGGUAUAUUUGUUAAA